UACAGAGGUGGCAAGCGUUGUUCGGAAUUACUGGGCGUAAAGGGCGCGUAGGCGGUUCGAUAAGUCCUGUGUGAAAUCCCUCGGCUCAACUGAGGAACUGCACGGGAGACUGUCGGGCUUGAGUUCGGGAGAGGGAAGCGGAAUUCCGGGUGUAGCGGUGAAAUGCGUAGAUAUCCGGAGGAACACCGGUGGCGAAGGCGGCUUCCUGGACCGACACUGACGCUGAGGCGCGAAAGCGUGGGGAGCAAACAGG
rnacentral:rRNA from 1 species